CGUGUCUUGCUUCAGGCAAGUAUAUGUCUUUCUAGUGAUCGAAACGGUCGGCCAGAGCAAGCCAGAGGGUGCGUGGGUCCUCCUCAGCGAGAUACUCAGUUUGCAGUGCAUCAUGAAUGUGUCUUCGAAUGAAGAUCAUUGCAGUAGCCUUCUGAGCUUCGUCAACAGGUUUGUUGGCAAUAUGUGUCUCGAUGGUGGCUCUAAUACCCUUUGCAGUGAGAUUGAGCUUCAUGUCUUGAACCCACUUCAGAUAGUUUCUUCCAGAGACUUCUAGAGCGGAGAAAUCAAGCUUGUUCAAGUUUGACAUGUCCCUAAAACGGAGGGAGAAAAAGUGAUUAGUGAUAUGGUAAGCCAUAGACAUAUAUCGUAGAACACACAAGUUCUUUAGACAUGUAUUGGUUUAAUUUAUGCUUGAAAACUACGGGUUUCAUGUGAUAUGUUUUGAAUGAAAACUUUGGGUUUCAAAAGCACUAAAUUUGAAACUACAGGUUCAAUUUAGUUUUAUGAACAAGUAGUUCAUAAUGAGAGGUUCCUUCAAGAAACAUAGAAUGCAAUAUACUAACUAAGUGUAGUGGAUUUGAGUUGUCUUCAAGAACUCAAGUGUGAGAGCUUCGUUACUACGAAAGUAUGUGACGGUUCAAGGUAUAAAAAUAAAUUAUUGAAUCAUUAAUGUCCAAAAGUGAUAUUCAGGUCAAUAAUUUUGGAUUCAUUACCAGAUUAAUGGACUGCAGGUCACUUUUAAUUAAUUCAAUAAAUCGAGCCAUACAGGGUCGAUUGUAGAAGCAAAAUAAUAUUAACAUACGGGUUAAAUUAUUUAGAAUGCUAAAAUAAUAGCAUUAGGUCGAAAAAAUUGCCCCAAAAAUAAAAUUGGACUAGUGUUAGGUGCCUAGAGUAAAAGGCACGGCCCAAAGGUCCUUAGAUGGUG
rnacentral:lncRNA from 1 species